rnacentral:rRNA from 1 species
CACGUAGGGUGCGAGCGUUGUCCGGAAUUAUUGGGCGUAAAGAGCUCGUAGGCGGCGUGUCGCGUCUGCCGUGAAAGCCCAUGGCUUAACUGUGGGUCUGCGGUGGAUACGGGCAGGCUGGAGGCUGGUAGGGGCAAGCGGAAUUCCUGGUGUAGCGGUGAAAUGCGCAGAUAUCAGGAGGAACACCGGUGGCGAAGGCGGCUUGCUGGGCCAGUUCUGACGCUGAGGAGCGAAAGCGUGGGGAGCGAACAGG